UGUGUACAAUAAUCAAGAAAAAUCUUCAUUUCUAAUUCUAUUAUGUGGGAAAAGAACCUUUCUUUUUUCUGCCUGCAUAAAACAAACCCCACUUCCACAUGGAAUAAGCUCCAGACCAUGUUUUCUAUUAUGCUUGAAUAUAUGGGACAUGCAUUGCAAUCCUAUGCUUGCCACACUGCUGCAGUAUACUUGUUUUGCAGAGCUCUGUAGCAGGCUAGUCAAAGCUGUGACUAACCAGACCCUUGGAUACAUACUCUAAUCUCUGGCCUUUAUUUUUACAAUGAAUUUGACUUGUUCAUUGAUUGUAUAUUUUUUCUGAUUUGUGAGAAGCUUCAUGCUCUGUGUUUGGAUGCUGACUGCAAUACAGCAAUAGUCUUUGAUACGCUUUACACUCUCAAAUUAAAGCUUAAAAACCUCCAAGGAAGGAAAGGAGGCCAGAUUGGAGGGGGAGGAGGUGAGAGGAAGGAAACGGGUGGAGAAAACCACUAUAUUCCCAAGAUGCAAGGAAAGUUGAAAAGUAGAAGAAAAAAUAUAUUAAAUCAGUGUAAACUAAGAGAGUCACAGUGUACGCUCUGUGGGGAGCCUGAAGAUUUGGAUUCUCUAACAGGGCAUGCAUUUCCAGAGCUGCAAGUGUUAUGGGCAUGUUGAGAACUUCCAGAAGCUGGAUUAAAGCAUCUCUUUUACAAUGAUAUCUAAUCUCGUCCUAAAGCUCCAAGCAAUGGCGAGUCCACCAGCUCCCCUGGUAAGCCAUUCCAAUAUUUAAUUACCCUUAGUGCUAGGAAAUAUUGUGGAAAGGUUGAAUUUGUCUAAUUUCAGCUGCCAGUCUUCCUUUUGCUAUGCCUUUGACAGCAACACUGAAAAUUGCCCCUUUUUCAGGUAUGUUUUCAGAACAAGUGUCUAUGACAAACUGCAGUGACCUGUUGAAAGGUCUCUGUGCAGAGAGGCUGUGUCACCUGGCCUGAUGAACUUAUUGCCUUGAUCUGCAAACCUGGCCUCUUUCAUAGACUUUCACAAUUUUAUCAACCCUAUGACUACUCAAAAAUUUUAUACAGUAGUCAAGAUACCUUUCAACUUUUGUUCUGGUAAAUUUGAAUUAUUAUACUCUUUAAGGCUCACACUGUAAGACUGGUUUUCUGACAGCUGUCCUAGGAACCCCUGAUUUUCAAAAACUGUGAGAAUAUAUUCAUGUAGAAAUUUGUAAAUGCUGUAUAUAGAAGUAAAUUACUUUUUUAUUUGUAC
rnacentral:lncRNA from 14 species